AAAUAGCCCCGAUAGUAGUGCUUUCCUUUUUGCUUUUUUAGCAAUCAGGUAAAAACGAAUAGCGGGAAAUAGC
rnacentral:sRNA from 1 species